rnacentral:rRNA from 1 species
GAUGAACGCUGGCGGCGUGCCUAAUACAUGCAAGUCGAGCGAACAGACGAGGAGCUUGCUCCUCUGACGUUAGCGGCGGACGGGUGAGUAACACGUGGAUAACCUACCUAUAAGACUGGGAUAACUUCGGGAAACCGGAUCUAAUACCGGAUAAUAUAUUGAACCGCAUGGUUCAAUAGUGAAAGACGGUUUUGCUGUCACUUAUAGAUGGAUCCGCGCCGCAUUAGCUAGUUGGUAAGGUAACGGCUUACCAAGGCAACGAUGCGUAGCCGACCUGAGAGGGUGAUCGGCCACACUGGAACUGAGACACGGUCCAGACUCCUACGGGAGGCAGCAGUGGGGAAUCUUGCGCAAUGGGCGCAAGCCUGACGGAGCAACGCCGCGUGAGUGAUGAAGGUCUUCGGAUCGUAAACCUCUGUUAUUAGGGAAGAACAAAUGUGUACGUAACUAUGCACGUCUUGACGGUACCUAAUCAGAAAGCCACGGCUAACUACGUG